rnacentral:rRNA from 1 species
GACGUAGGGCGCGAGCGUUGUCCGGAUUUAUUGGGCGUAAAGAGCUCGUAGGCGGCUUGUCGCGUCGACCGUGAAAACUUGGGGCUCAACCCCAAGCCUGCGGUCGAUACGGGCAGGCUCGAGUUCGGUAGGGGAGACUGGAAUUCCUGGUGUAGCGGUGAAAUGCGCAGAUAUCAGGAGGAACACCGAUGGCGGAGGCAGGUCUCUGGGCCGAUACUGACGCUGAGGAGCGAAAGCGUGGGGAGCGAACAGG